rnacentral:rRNA from 1 species
CCUACGGGAGGCAGCAGUGGGGAAUAUUGCACAAUGGAGGAAACUCUGAUGCAGCAAUGCCGCGUAUGUGAAGAAGGCCUUAGGGUUGUAAAGCACUUUCAGUAGGGAGGAAAAGUUUAAGGUUAAUAACCUUAGGCCCUGACGUUACCUACAGAAGAAGCACCGGCUAACUCCGUGCCAGCAGCCGCGGUAAU